AUGCUUGGAACAAAUACAGUUUUGAAUAUUCUGACUUUGGGAGACAACAAUUUAGAGGGGAAUCUAGAUUUCUUGUCAGCUCUUUCCAAAUGCAGACAACUACAAUUCCUUGAUUUCGAAAAAAAUCUUUUUACAGGCACCAUCUCUGGCUAUGUGGGAAACUUCUCUUCACGUUUAAGCUAUUUUGGUGCAGGUGUCAACCAGUUAAUAGGUGGACUUCCGGUAGCAAUUUCAAAUAUAAGCAACCUUCUAUGGAUUGAUUUUCAGGAUAACGUAUUCACCGAGCCAAUUCCAGAAUCCAUCACUAUACUGAAAAAUCUUGCAUGUCUUGAUCUCUCCUGGAGUAACAUGCCAGACCCUAUCCCUACACAAAUGGGUAUGCUUCAAAGUCUAGAAUGA
rnacentral:rRNA from 1 species